UACAGAGACCUCAAGCAUUAUCCGGAUUUAUUGGGCGUAAAGGGUCCGCAGGUGGUCGUGCACGUCGGAAGUUAAAUGGUUGGGCUCAACCCAGCCACCGCUUUCGAUACGACAUGACUAGAGGCCGGGAGAGGUAAGCGGAAUUGCCGGUGUAGUAGUAAUAUGCGUUAAUAUCGGCAAGAACACCAAAUGCGAAGGCAGCUUACUGGAACGCGCCUGACACUCAGGGACGAAAGCGUGGGGAGCGAAAGGG
rnacentral:rRNA from 1 species